GCAUACACAGUUUGGUAGAAGGACAAGUUUCAGGUUCAGGCUCAUUUAAGAAGUAAAGUUGCAGAAUUUUCUGUUUCCUCCAGUAAACUUUGCUAUUUGUGCUGCAUAGAACCUAAGUUAAGACUCGAAUAACUUAUUCAUUUUGUAAACUGAAGCUGAGACACCACCUGAACUACUCUGAGUUUUGUAUAUAUGUGGACAGACACUGAGUUAGGAGACAGUUUUGUAAAGGACAGGUUUGUACAAUGAGUAACUCGCAGGUUUAUUUGCUGUUGCAUUUUAUUUAAAAUUUGGAUGAAGAUAUUGACGCUUCCAUUAAUUAUAUAUUAUAUAUAACCUAAUGAUAUUUUAACGCCCUGGUCCCUUCUCUCCAACUCCAUUUUUCGGUUUUUCCUCAGGACCAUCUUCUUUUGCUUUAAAAAGUUAGGAAAGCUGACUUCACUCCUCUUCUCCCCACAUUCACCACCUACUUUUCUUGGCAAUGAAAUGAAAUAUUUGCAGUUUCUGAGUAAAAACUUUUUGGAACAAAAUAUUUUGAACUUGGUUUAUUGAUCUCUUUCCAGUCCUCAAAGAGAAUAGAGGGUUUGUGUCCUUUGCCUUAUCCCUUGCUUUAGUUCAUAGCUUGCUGACUUCUAUGAUACCACUGCUGCUGCUUGUUUGCUAGUGUGGUUGUCUCCCUAUGGUCACUGUACCCAUUUUUGGAGUCCAUAAUAGUGCAUUCUUGAUAGUUGAAUUUUUCUCACUAGUGCUUAAUCAGGCAUGCCAUGGUGUCCCUAAAGGCAUUCUUUUGCAUCAAGUGUGCUUCAAUUUGAUACACAGCCCUGAGAGCUAGCUCACAUCAUAUUGAUCAGUUAUGGCCUAUUUCGUUCCUUUCUUGGUUUUUAUUUAGGAUACUUGCCAGUGUCAUUGCUGUUGAUUUGUGCACAAACUUUCAGGUCCAAAGCAAACACUCGAUGUCUUUCAUAUUCAAAGAGUCUUUAGUCUUAAUGUAACAACGAUAUUCUAAUAGCUCCUUUAUGUUGAUAAUACAUGCACUUGAAACUUUUCUUUGUAGGAAUUUGCUCCAGGAACAGUGGAAGGAUGUGUUUACAAGGGUCAUCCAAGUCAGCAGUUGCUGCAAGCGAAGAUUUAAUUUCAGUUCAGUUUUACAAGGACUCUGCCAAUGAAAGUGAAGGACCUGGCUCUGGCUCUGGUUCUCCAAAGUGCGUAUUCCUGAUAUCGCUUGUUGCAUUACUUUUUAUUGCAUAGGUGAAUGCUACUGUGGUAGACCAAUUUUUUCGGGCUUCUGAUUAUAAGAUUGCUCUCUCAUUCAUUUUUUAAUCCAAUGUUUUAUGCAUACACAGUUUGGUAGAAGGACAAGUUUCAGGUUCAGGCUCAUUUAAGAAGUAAAGUUGCAGAAUUUUCUGUUUCCUCCAGUAAACUUUGCUAUUUGUGCUGCAUAGAACCUAAGUUAAGACUCGAAUAACUUAUUCAUUUUGUAAACUGAAGCUGAGACACCACCUGAACUACUCUGAGUUUUGUAUAUAUGUGGACAGACACUGAGUUAGGAGACAGUUUUGUAAAGGACAGGUUUGUACAAUGAGUAACUCGCAGGUUUAUUUGCUGUUGCAUUUUAUUUAAAAUUUGGAUGAAGAUAUUGACG
rnacentral:lncRNA from 1 species